rnacentral:RNase_P_RNA from 2 species
AGCUUCGGGUAAUCGAGCGUAACUUUUGUUAUGUUAGGAAGGUCCAUGCUCGCACAGGCUGCGAUGCCUGUAGUGUUUGUGCUCGCUGAAAAAAUAAGGCGGGGCACCUACUUGAUAGGUGACGGCGGAAAAAAUGGCUACGGUCUUUGACUAUGCCAAAGUAUUCCUGAAAGUGCCACAGUGACGAUACAAUUUGGGAAACCAAGUUGGUGGAACGCGGUAAACCCCUCAAGCGGUAAACCCAAACUUUGGUAGGGGAGCUUUGGAUAACGAAUUGAAGUGAUUCCAGGGGAGUAUCAUUUAUGAUACUGAGAUAGAUGAUUACCACGGUAUUAUUUGGCCUGAAAUAAUACUUUGACAAAACAUGGCCUACAGGA